rnacentral:rRNA from 1 species
GACGAACGCUGGCGGCGUGCUUAACACAUGCAAGUCGAACGCUGAAGCUUGGUGCUUGCACUGGGUGGAUGAGUGGCGAACGGGUGAGUAAUACGUGAGUAACCUGCCCUUGACUCUGGGAUAAGCCUGGGAAACUGGGUCUAAUACUGGAUAUGACAUGCCACUGCAUGGUGGUGUGUGGAAAGGGUUUUACUGGUUUUGGAUGGGCUCACGGCCUAUCAGCUUGUUGGUGGGGUAAUGGCCUACCAAGGCGACGACGGGUAGCCGGCCUGAGAGGGUGACCGGCCACACUGGGACUGAGACACGGCCCAGACUCCUACGGGAGGCAGCAGUGGGGAAUAUUGCACAAUGGGCGGAAGCCUGAUGCAGCGACGCCGCGUGAGGGAUGACGGCCUUCGGGUUGUAAACCUCUUUCAGCACGGAAGAAGCGAGAGUGACGGUAUGUGCAGAAGAAGCGCCGGCUAACUACGUG